rnacentral:rRNA from 1 species
GACGAACGCUGGCGGCGUGCUUAACACAUGCAAGUCGAACGGAAAGGCCCUUCGGGGUACUCGAGUGGCGAACGGGUGAGUAACACGUGGGUGAUCUGCCCUGCACUUUGGGAUAAGCCUGGGAAACUGGGUCUAAUACCGAAUAGGACCACGCGCUUCAUGGUGUGUGGUGGAAAGCUUUUGCGGUGUGGGAUGGGCCCGCGGCCUAUCAGCUUGUUGGUGGGGUAAUGGCCUACCAAGGCGACGACGGGUAGCCGGCCUGAGAGGGUGACCGGCCACACUGGGACUGAGAUACGGCCCAGACUCCUACGGGAGGCAGCAGUGGGGAAUAUUGCACAAUGGGCGCAAGCCUGAUGCAGCGACGCCGCGUGAGGGUUGACGGCCUUCGGGUUGUAAACCUCUUUCAAUAGGGACGAAGCGCAAGUGACGGUACCUAUAGAAGAAGCACCGGCCAACUACGUG